rnacentral:rRNA from 1 species
CCUACGGGUGGCAGCAGUGAGGAAUAUUGGUCAAUGGGCGCGAGCCUGAACCAGCCAAGUAGCGUGAAGGAUGACGGCCCUACGGGUUGUAAACUUCUUUUAUAAGGGAAUAAAGUGAGGCACGUGUGCCUUUUUGUAUGUACCUUAUGAAUAAGGAUCGGCUAAAUCCGUGCCAGCAGCCGCGGUAAUACGGAGGCUCCGAGCGUUAUCCGGAUUUAUUGGGUUUAAAGGGAGCGUAGACGGGUUGUUAAGUCAGUUGUGAAAGCAUGUGGCUCAACCCUAAAAUUGCAAUUGAUACUGGGAGGCUUGAGUGCAGGUGAGGUAGGCGGAAUUCGUGGUGUAGCGGUGAAAUGCGUAGAUAUUACGAAGAACUCCGAUUGCGAAGGCAGCCUACUAGACUGCCACUGACAUUGAGGCUCGAAAGUGUGGGUAUCAAACAGGAUUAGAUACCCGAGUAGUC